rnacentral:sRNA from 1 species
ACCAUUUUUUUCCAAGAAUGAACAGCAGAAUUUCCCUGUAUAAAAAGUCCAAGAAUAGAAGCCAAUUUUAAAUUAAAGCCAAAAUAGUAUGACUUAUAUUAUUCUGAAAAUGUUGUCAUUCCCCAUUUCCAAAAUAAUACAAUGAAUAAUCAGAAGAGCCGUAUCCAUGAUUUUCUUUUAGGAGACUUUAAUACAAAACUACUGUGAACUUCAUCUAAAAUGUGUCUUCUGCUGCUGAUCUGGAUCUGAGCUGUCCAAUACAGCUGCCAGAAGCCACAGAUGACAUUAUAUUCCUAUUCGAAGACCAAGAGCUCAAAACAUCAUUCCUCCCACAAAUGAAAAAAUGUCUGGGAAAAAUUCCUAAUCUACUUCUCUGAAACCCAAUUGGGAAGCUAGCCCAAUUCGAGUUCUAUACUCGAAAGGCAAACGUAAAGACUAAACCUGUAAGUUUGCCUGUAUGUAGAUGACUUCUUACAAGACCUCCUAAUGAGAGUAAUGGCAGAAAUAGGGGAAAUGAAAAUUAAGACAAGUUUUACAAGUGUUAUUCCAAAGAAUCCAGAAUAUUUCCAUUUUGCCCAUGGUGAAACUAUUCAAGGAAGGUUAAGUAAUUUGGAUUGGUCAGGAUGUGAACCUAGGCCAGUCUGACUUCUAAGCCUGUGAUUUUUCUGUUAUCCCGUGACAUGGUGUACACUACAAGAAAUGCUAAUCUUAAUAACAUAGCUACCUGUAUUGAGAACUCAUUAGGUCAGGUACUGUUCUAAGCACUUUGCUUCUAUCUCUCACUCAGCAAAUUUUAGUGAGCUCUUUAUUGAUUUACAAGAUUAUGCAUCUAUGAACUCAAUCACACUGGCUAUUAAUUAAAUUCCCUUCAAGUUUGGUUUGUAAAAAAAUUAAUUGACAUUUCAUUCUUUUUUUCAGAAGACACCAGGUUUUUAGCCUUGGAUCAAGAUGUCUCAAAAACAACUCAGUAAAAAUCUAGAUCUUUCUCAGCUCCAAAUUCUUGAACUGCUUUCAGAGUACUGAGAUUGUUGUAGCCCAAACAUGCAAUGGCAUUUUAUAAGCCUCUUGAACUCUGAGGACUAAGCUCUGAUUUUUUUUUUCUUAAUCUUGUCCAAAUUCCUAUCUAAGGGGUCUGGGGAGUCAUGGCCUACAAACCAUAAAUUCUCAUCAGAUGGGUUUUAUUUAACCCUAUAUAUCAUGACUUACUUGCCAACAUAACUCUGGCAUAACAUUAUGAGACAAGGAAGAAAAUCAAAAUAUUUUACCCCAAAACAUGCUUAUUUGCCAUGUCUUGAAAUAGCCCUGCAAAGCUAUCUUUUGUGGGGGAAAAUUUGCCUCUGUAAAGAAUCUCUAUUAACAUAGCUAGAUCUUUUUCUUCCAGGCCCUCCCAAACCUAAGGAGAUUAACUAAAAUUCUAGCACUUCUUAAAGAUCUGAAUAGGAAAUAUUUCAUCUAUUAUCUCUAAGGGCAGCCACUAUAAGACUUCAAAAGAACCUUAGUCUCCACAUUUUUAUCUUAACCUGAACCUUUCCCUUCUAUCAAUCCCAGGUCUUUAGACAAACUCAACCAAUUGUCAAUCAGAAAAUGUUUAAAUUCACCUGUAGCCUGGAAGCCCCUGCUUUGAGUUGUCCCACCUUUCCAGACCAAACCAAUGUAUUUCUUAAAUGUAUUUGAUUGAUGUCUCAUACCUCCCUAAAAUGUAUAAAACCAAGCUGUGUCCCCAACUACCCUGGGCACAUGUUCCAAGGAUCUCCUGAGGGCUGUGUCAUGGGCCAUGGUCACUCAUAUUUGACUCAAAAUAAAUCUCUUUGAAUAUU